rnacentral:rRNA from 1 species
GAAUUCGAUUAACGCGAAGAACCUUACCUGGGCUCGAAAUGUAGUGGAAUCCGGCAGAAACGUCGGCGUCUAGCAAUAGACCGCUAUAUAGGUGCUGCAUGGCUGUCGUCAGCUCGUGUCGUGAGAUGUUGGGUUAAGUCCCGCAACGAGCGCAACCCUUGUCGUUAGUUGCCAGCGGUUCGGCCGGGCACUCUAACGAGACUGCCGGUGUUAAACCGGAGGAAGGUGGGGAUGACGUCAAGUCCUCAUGGCCUUUAUGUCCAGGGCUACACACAUGCUACAAUGGCCGGUACAAACCGCUGCAAACCCGCGAGGGGGAGCUAAUCGGAAAAAGCCGGCUUCAGUUCGGAUUGGAGUCUGCAACUCGACUCCAUGAAGUUGGAAUCGCUAGUAAUCGCGGAUCAGCUACGGCGCCGUGAAUACGUUCCCGGGCCUUGUCACACCGAAUCACUA